GCUCGCCGCUCGUUCGCGCGCAUUUUAUUACAGCUUUUGGUCUGUGGUGCUGCUGUGUUCCGAGCCGCCCGGGUCGCCGUUUUCAGAGCCUUGUUUAUUUUCUUUAAUAGUUUCUUGUGAGCCCGAAAGACACAAGCUUCGAGAGCCUUCAUCCUUUUCUGCGUAACGUAAAGGUUCAGCAGCUUGCAAACAUUGGGGGUCCAAGCCCAGAGUCUUGCACGCGCAGGGUUUUGAGAAGUGUGCUGUCAGACAAACUUGCAUCAACAUUCUCAUGGCACGGACGAAAGGGGAAGAAUGCCUUUGACUGUCUGCUUCUCUCCAAGUGCAUUGUUGAUGCUGUAAAGGUCACCCAUAAAUGUGACAAUUUUGUAGUGGAAAGUGCAACCAAAGACUGGCUUCGUCACGCCCCGGCAAGAUGUGCAUCGGAAAAGUCAGCCAGCCAUCCUUCCAGCCUGCCAGCUAGUGAUCCAACCAGUGACUAGACGUGAUUUAGCCAGUGACUAGACAUGUGAUUCAGCCAGUGACUAGACAUGUGAUUCAGCCAGCGACUAGACCCGUGUCCCAGCCAGCGACUAGACCCGUGUCCCAGCCAGCGACUAGACCUGUGACCCAGCCAGCGAACUAGACCAGUGAUCCAGCCAGCGACUACUAGACCAGUGAUCCAUCCAGCC